rnacentral:lncRNA from 1 species
CUUAGGUCAAAGCAAAAAUCUAGAGCAGUCUGAGGGAGAAAAAAAAAAAAAUUCCCGAGAUGCAUCAUACACCUCAGUUGAGGAGGGCAAUAUGCUGCCUGCCGUUUGCUCUGGUGAAGGCUGGUGCCUGUCACAUGUGCCUCAGGCCUUCCUGCUCUGGCAUCUGCCUUCUGAGUCAUUGUGGCUUGGGGGAGAAUCCUCAAACAUCAGGCUGCCUAACCACCAUCUGACUCGUAGGAAGUUAAGGCCUACCAGGCUGUGAGUUGAGCCAACCGUGAGUCUGACAGUUGCUGUCAGUGGUCCUGAUCCUGCCCAGCCAAUGAGGGGUGACUACCCGAUCCUGCGUGAGGCCCUAGCAACAGGAGCUGUCAUCGGUCCUGAUUGUGCCUAGCCAAUGAAGGGCGACUAGGAAAUGCCAAUGGAUCAGAACAUCUG